rnacentral:lncRNA from 1 species
CAGGCAAGCCCGCCGUCACCCGUCCCGGCCAGGGGGCUGACAGUCCGACAGACACAACACCACACGUGCUGCCUGCUCCACACCACAGCACCCACCAGGCUGUCACCCCGCUCGGCUCAGCCCCGCUCGGAUCUCCGCGCACUCGGCACAGCCCGGAGUGCGCGCCCGGCGCCGGGAGCGGCGGGCGGGCGGACGGCGGGCGCGCCCCGAGGAGAGCGGGCGAGCCCGCACAGCAGCCCCAGGCUCCGCGGCCUGGCGCUCGCCGCCCGUGAGCGCCGGCUCCCGGAGUGGCGCGCGGCGGAGCGGGCGAGCCGUAGGUGCGGACCGGGCGGGCGGACGGCGCGGGUUGGGCCGCGGAGUCGGACGCGAGGGGGGGCCGCGGCGCCCAGCCCGAGGCCUGGCGCAGAGCAGCGGGAGGCGGCGCAGGCCGCGACGGGGCCUGCAGCAGCCCGCCGACCCCGCGAGGCGCCGAAGGAGACUCCGGGGCGGCUUAGCCUCCGGCUCGGCAGCUGGGAGCGACCGGGGGAGGCCCCUCGGCUACUUACCUGGGGGGAAGACAGUCGGGAUCCCGGGGGCCCGGGCCGGACCGCGGAGAUGCCCCAAACUGACACGGCCGCCAUCUUGGAGACAACAACGCCUAGUACACCAGGCAAAACUGAAACCUGCAGGCUGUUCGGAGAGUUUUCAUUUCCCGGACUCCAACCGCUGGUCUCACAGCUGCCCAAGCAACCACUUCCUGAAAUGCAAACACACACGGGUGCGCUCGCGCACGCGCGCACGCACACUACCUCAUACCAUACAUCCUGAUGACUGAGUGAGUACUCGGGAAAUCUCCAAACCUUCAGUUCGUCACCAGGGACCGGCUCUGACCGUGGAGAGACUAGCUCUGGAAACUUCUAGUCUCUCUACGGAGGUCCCUUUCUGCUUUUCUUCCAGCGACGUGAUUCUGAGUGGCUUUCCUGAGCCCGCUCUCCCAGUCCUUAGGAAGAAUCUGCGGAGUCGCUGACGGGAAGCAGGUGUCUGGCGCCAUCGGAGGGCAGGCCCGCGUGGGAGCCGCUCGUCCCGCAGCGCAUCCCAGGUGACUCCGGCCCGACCCGUCUUUCCUGGACCGAGGCGUUUAGAAGUACCUUAGAAACCGCACCACCCGUCAGCUGGCUUCAAAACAAAGAGUCCUUUCAGCCGCUUCAGAUGCUGGCUCGUCGCCAUGGCAACCGUCCUCCGCCUUUCUCCACCUCCUCCCCUCCGCCCGGCGCCCCGCAGCUGCGUGGGUGGAGGCGCCGCUUUGUCCCCGGAGGCCGGCUUUAUUUCCCGCCUUUGUGGUGGACUAGAGAGGAGUCACCCCCGGGAAUUCACUGUACAAAUCCCAAGUUUCUUUUCAACCAUCCUGGUUGGGUCCAGGAGAGUCUGUCCCCAUCAGGCCCAGCAGCGCCACCUUCCGUGGCGAAGAGCGCACUGCCCAGUCCGCCGCUGCGCAAAAGCCAUACGGGUCUGGCCAUUGUCACUAUUCUAGUGGCGCUCAACAUUUGAGCAGCUAGAGCUUUCUUGGCUGAAAAGACAGAAUGGUUAUGUAAACAACCAGGACGUGUUUCCUGAUUUUCCUUUUCCCUAGCUGCUUCCUAUUUUAAAUGAUUAUGUACUUUCAAAACUUCUGUAUUAACUUUGAUGAAUUCCUCAAUGUUUACUUUCUCUUUUCUAUGGAGAAACUUUUUUUUAACUUUUUAAUAAUUUAUUAAAAUAUUAGUUUGCUUCUUAUGUUCAGCAUAGAAAAAAGCAAAAUAAAUCUCUGUGCAAAUUUUCCGAGUCA